GGCGCCUGUGGUGACUCGGGGACGCGAUGGACUCGCGGGAGCCGGAUCCGGCGGCAGAGCCGCUCCGGGACGCCUACCAGCAGGAGCAGGGGCAAGCUGAAGCAGUGUCUCUGAGGCUUUUUUAGGCCUCUGUACUGAGUUCUACCCAUGAAUUCUCCUUAACAUGGUACUGGAAGAAAUGGGAAAUCGUAUUGACGACUUACAGAAGAAUGUGAACGACUUAAUGGUGCAAGCUGGGAUUGAAAAUCCUAUUAAAGAACAAAUGACCUGAAGAUAUUAAACCAGUCACUUGAAAAUGUGAUCAAAUGAAAAUUUCUUUUGAGUAAUAAUCUACAUAACAUGAUUUCUGAUUUUCAGUAAUUUUAAAAUGUAUUAGUAAAA